rnacentral:rRNA from 1 species
CCUACGGGAGGCAGCAGUGAGGAAUAUUGGUCAAUGGACGGAAGUCUGAACCAGCCAUGCCGCGUGCAGGAUGACGGCCCUAUGAGUUGUAAACUGCUUUUGUAUUGGGGUAAACACCCCCACGUGUAGGGGCUUGAAAGUACAAUAUGAAUAAGGAUCGGCUAACUCCGUGCCAGCAGCCGCGGUAAUACGGAGGAUCCAAGCGUUAUCCGGAUUUAUUGGGUUUAAAGGGUGCGUAGGCGGUUUGAUAAGUUAGUGGUGAAAUGCAGGGGCUCAACACCAGAAUUGCCUCUAAUACUGGUAGCCUUGAGAGUAGUUGCGGUAGGCGGAAUGUAUGGUGUAGCGGUGAAAUGCUUAGAGAUCACACAGAACACCGAUUGCGAAGGCAGCUUACCAAACUAUAACUGACGUUGAGGCACGAAAGCGUGGGUAGCAAACAGGAUUAGAUACCCGAGUAGUC